rnacentral:lncRNA from 1 species
UGGAUACAUCUCCAUGUGUGGAGGUACUGGCUCCACCACUAUCACUAGCAGGUCUACUGGACUGAGUGGAUACAUCUCCACCACUAUCAUUAACAGGUCUACUGGACUGAGUGGAUACAUCUCCAUGUGUGGAGGUACUGGCUCCACCACUAUCACUAGCAGGUCUACUGGACUGAGUGGAUACAUCUCCACCACUAUCACUAGCAGGUCUACUGGACUGAGUGGAUACAUCUCCACCACUAUCACUAGCAGGUCUACUGGACUGAGUGGAUACAUCUCCAUGUGUGGAGGUACUGGCUCCACCACUAUCACUAGCAGGUCUACUGGACUGACUGGACACAUCUCCACCACUAUCAUUAACAGGUCUACUGGACUGAGUGGAUACAUCUCCAUGUGUGGAGGUACUGGCUCCACCACUAUCACUAGCAGGUCUACUGGACUGAGUGGAUACAUCUCCACCACUAUCACUAGCAGGUCUACUGGACUGAGUGGAUACAUCCCCACCACUAUCACUAGCAGGUCUACUGGACUGAGUGGUUACAUCCCCACCACUAUCACUAGCAGGUCUACUGGACUGAGUGGAUACAUCUCCACCACUAUCACUAGCAGGUCUACUGGACUGAGUGGAUACAUCUCCACCACUAUCACUAGCAGGUCUACUGGACUGAGUGGAUACAUCUCCACCACUAUCACUAGCAGGCCUACUGGACUAAGUGGAUACAUCUCCAUGUGUGGAGGUACUGGCUCCACCACUAUCACUAGCAGGUCUACUGGACUGAGUGGAUACAUCUCCACCACUAUCACUAGCAGGCCUACUGGACUGAGUGGAUACAUCUCCACGUGUGGAGGUGCUGGCUCCACCACUAUCACUAGCAUGUCUACUUGACUGAGUGGAUACAUCUCCACGUGUGGAGGUGCUGGCUCCACCACUAUCACUAGCAGGCCUACUGGACUGAGUGGGUACUGGCUCCACCACUAUCACUAGCAGGUCUACUGGACUGAGUGGAUACAUCUCCACCACUAUCACUAGCAGGUCUACUGGACUGAGUGGAUACAUCUCCACGUGUGGAGGUGCUGGCUCCACCACUAUCACUAGCAGGUCUACUGGACUGAGUGGAUACAUCUCCACGUGUGGAGGUGCUGACUCCACCACUAUCACUAGCAGGCCCGCUGACCUGAUCCUAGAUCAUAAUGAAUCAGAUUACAUGGAUAGGAGGACCUGAUCCUAGAUCAUAAUGAAUCAGGUUACAUGGAGAGGGGGACCUGAUCCUAGAUCAUAAUGAAUCAGAUUACAUGGAGAGGGUUGGACCUGAUCCUAGAUCAUAAUGAAUCAGAUUACAUGGAGAGGAGGGACCUGAUCCUAUAUCAUAAUGAAUCAGAUUACAUGGAGAGGGGGGGACCUGAUCCUAGAUCAUAAUGAAUCAGAUUACAUGGAGAGGGGGGGCCUGAUCCUAGAUCAUAAUGAAUCAGAUUAUAUGGAGAGGAGGACCUGAUCCUAUAUCAUAAUGAAUCAGAUUACAUGGAGAGGAGGACCUGAUCCUAGAUUAUAAUGAAUCAGAUUACAUGGAGAGGGGGACCUGAUCCUAGAUCAUAAUGAAUCAGAUUACAUGGAGAGGAGGGGACCUGAUCCUAGAUCAUAAUGAAUCAGAUUACAUGGAGAGAGGAGGACCUGAUCCUAGAUCAUAAUGAAUCAGAUUACAUGGAGAGGAGGGACCUGAUCCUAGAUCACAAUGAAUCAGAUUACAUGGAGAGGGGGGGACCUGAUCCUAGAUCAU